AACGAACGCUGGCGGCAGGCUUAACACAUGCAAGUCGAACGCCCCGCAAGGGGAGUGGCAGACGGGUGAGUAACGCGUGGGAACAUACCCAUCACUACGGAAUAACUCAGGGAAACUUGUGCUAAUACCGUAUACGACCGAGAGGUGAAAGAUUUAUCGAUGAUGGAUUGGCCCGCGGUGGAUUAGCUAGUUGUUGGGGUAAAGGCCUACCAAGGCGACGAUCCAUAGCUGGUCUGAGAGGAUUAUCAGCCACAUUGGGACUGAGACACGGCCCAAACUCCUACGGGAGGAAGCAGUGGGGAAUAUUGGACAAUGGGCGCAAGCCUGAUCCAGCCAUGCCGCGUGAGUGAUGAAGGCCUUAGGGUUGUAAAGCUCUUUCACCGGAGAAGAUAAUGACGGUAUCCGGAGAAGAAGCCCCGGCUAACUUCGUGCCAGCAGCCGCCGUAACAC
rnacentral:rRNA from 1 species